rnacentral:rRNA from 1 species
UACGAAGGGUGCAAGCGUUACUCGGAAUUACUGGGCGUAAAGCGUGCGUAGGUGGUUUGUUAAGUCUGUUGUGAAAGCCCCGGGCUUAACCUGGGAAUGGCGGUUGAAACUAGUCGACUCGAAUCUGGCAGAGGGGGGUGGAAUUCCACGUGUAGCAGUGAAAUGCGUAGAGAUGUGGAGGAACACCGAUGGCGAAGGCAGCCCCCUGGGCUGAGAUUGACGCUCAGGCACGAAAGCGUGGGGAGCAAACAGG